UGUGAUUCAAAAAAAUUUUCAACUGUGUAAAAUCAAGUUUCAACUGAACCAAGGAUUUUCGAAAAUUUUUGGAAUUGUUCAAAUUAUAGUAUUACUCCUGAGUCUUGAAUGAAGGGAGUGCAGACACCAGAACCGAAUGAGAGGCACGUAGACUCGUUGAUGCUUAUGAUUCGAAAUCCCUCUCUCCUUUGUUACAUUACGUAUCCGCUUGACGAUCCUCGAAUGCGUGGCAAUACAUUUGUGCAGACACAUUUAUACCUGAGUAGAGCCUCGAGAGACUGUCUCGAUUCUUUCUUGUGGAGAAGUUCAGCUGAAAAAAAAACUACUCCCGAGUGUUCGUCUGGGUGCUUUCUAUGUAACGAGUUGCGGACUUUUUACUCAAACCGAGUGCUUUUUUUUUGUGACAUAACAAAAAGCCACAUAUUCAUUAAUUUUUUUUUUUAUCCACUGAAGAUUUUCCGUCGUUGGAUGGAUUCUGUGUUUAUUUUUAAAAUCUCUAUAAUACCUCGGGUUUUAUCAACACGUCUGGGCACAAAGUGAAUAGAAUUCCGAUACCACCGGAGGCUGUUUUCGUGGCAAUAAUACAGGAACAUGGAGAGUUGGAUUAAGCCAGGAGUCUCAUUCCUCGUCACGGUCAUAUACAGAGUGUCGUAAUAAAACUAGAAUAAGGAUGGGGUGGAAAGAGCAACGAUAAAACUUUACGACAGCGACACAAACGGCUUAUUACAACCCAGUGGUCCCACCCCCCUCGUUAAUUGCCUGCCAAAAUAAUAAUUUGCUCCAUCUCAUACGCUGUACAAUUUUACGAGAAAAAAAAGCCCCCGGAAUUGAUGGGACGAUGCCGCUGAGCAGUGAAGAAGGGAGAAAAAAAAAAUACCUGGGGAUAUUGCUGGAGGGAUAUCUAGCUGAGAAGUGGCUCAGGGUGAGGUAUCACGAUGAGGAAGUAAUCAAGCCCGUAGAUCUGGUAACGGCUAUGUGGAGCCCUCCCCCGAGGGCAAUACGUUGCCGAAUUUCACUGUGGGGUGGAUUGGAAAAGAUAUGGUCCUGGCUUUAGUAUUAUCCCAGUCAAAAAAUGGACGUGAUAAGGUAUCUGUGGGGGAUAAGAGAACUCUGGAUAACGGGCGAGGUGCUGGAGUAAAAAAAGAGGCCAAGGGGAUGGUAUAUACAAACGCACCGUUCGGUGCACCAAUCCAUACAAAGAGUUGGAUUAUCCAGAGGUGUACGAGAGGGCUUUCUUCCGGAAAUGAAUAGUCCCACUGUUAUCGACCUUCCAAGAACGCAAAAAGAAAGAGCACUCAGGUCCUGAUCCGGUGAUUUGUCUAUUCCCUACUAAAGUCUCAUUGCCAAGGAUUUCUCAACGUUUGAUACACUCUGGCUUGAGGGGUUUUCAAAUGCCACCGGGGGUUGAUCCUCAAGUUGAAAUGAGGAUAAAAGGUGGGUGGUGAAGGGCGAGAGGGAUGGGGGUAGGCGAUGGGAGAUGGCAAGGAGCUUUAAUUAAUCUCUGUGCAAAUACAAGGCCAUGGAGUUAGUGAGGAUAGACGAUGAGGACCAUUCGACAGCAAGAUAAAGAAGAUGCUGGAAGAAAAAUAGAAAGGUCUCGAGUGAAGGAAGACGAGUGGAGCUUUCAAGUUGCGCGCGCUUUUUUUUUUUUUAUUUUAUCUUUUGUGGAAAACAUGGUUUCUCUUUGCUAAUAAUUUUUUGCCGUAACGGCACAGUGAAUUUUAUUCGAUGAACAUCGAUUGACAAUCGAUGAAUAAAAACACGAAAUUUUUUUCGCCA